UCGGGAAUUUUGGGCAAUGGGGGAAACCCUGACCCAGCAACGCCGCGUGAAGGAUGAAGUAUUUCGGUAUGUAAACUUCGAAAGAAUAGGAAGAAUAAAUGACGGUACUAUUUAUAAGGUCCGGCUAACUACGUGCCAGCAGCCGCGGUAAUACGUAGGGACCAAGCGUUGUUCGGAUUUACUGGGCGUAAAGGGCGCGUAGGCGGCAUGACAAGUCACUUGUGAAAUCUCUGGGCUUAACCCAGAACGGCCAAGUGAUACUGUCGCGCUAGAGUGCAGAAGGGGCAAUCGGAAUUCUUGGUGUAGCGGUGAAAUGCGUAGAUAUCAAGAGGAACACCUGAGGUGAAGACGGGUUGCUGGGCUGACACUGACGCUGAGGCGCGAAAGCCAGGGGAGCAAACGGGAUUAGAUACCCACGUAGUCCCUGAGCGGGCUGGCAAGGCGCAU
rnacentral:rRNA from 1 species